UACAGAGGGUGCGAGCGUUAAUCGGAAUUACUGGGCGUAAAGCGCGCGUAGGCGGCUUUUCAAGUCGAUUGUGAAAUCCCCGGGCUUAACUUCGGAAAGGCAGUGGAAACUGAACAGCUAGAGUAUGGUAGGGGCAGAGGGAAUUCCUGGUGUAGCGGUGAAAUGCGUAGAGAUCAGGAAGAACAUCGGUGGCGAAGGCGCUCUGCUGGACCAUAACUGACACUCAGGGACGAAAGCUAGGGGAGCGAAUGGG
rnacentral:rRNA from 1 species